rnacentral:rRNA from 1 species
UACGAAGGGGGCUAGCGUUGUUCGGAAUUACUGGGCGUAAAGCGCACGUAGGCGGACUUUUAAGUCAGAUGUGAAAUCCCGAGGCUCAACCUCGGAACUGCAUUUGAAACUGGGAGUCUAGAGAUCAGGAGAGGUUAGCGGAAUACCGAGUGUAGAGGUGAAAUUCGUAGAUAUUCGGUGGAACACCAGUGGCGAAGGCGGCUAACUGGACUGAUACUGACGCUGAGGUGCGAAAGUGUGGGGAGCAAACAGGAUUAGAUACCCCGGUAGUCC